CGGCUCCUCGGGACGCAGCAGUGAGGAAUAUUGGUCAAUGGGCGGGAGCCUGAACCAGCCAAGUCGCGUGAGGGAAGACGGUCCUAUGGAUUGUAAACCUCUUUAGGCGGGGAGCAAUGCCGGGCACGCGUGCCCGGAGGGAGAGUACACGCAGAAUAAGCACCGGCUAACUCCGUGCCAGCAGCCGCGGUAAUACGGAGGAUGCGAGCGUUAUCCGGAUUUAUUGGGUUUAAAGGGUGCGUAGGCGGAUUUUUAAGUCAGCGGUAAAAUGUCCGGGCUCAACCCGGGCCGGCCGUU
rnacentral:rRNA from 1 species